rnacentral:rRNA from 1 species
GACGAACGCUGGCGGCGUGCUUAACACAUGCAAGUCGAACGGAAAGGCCCUGCUUUUGUGGGGUGCUCGAGUGGCGAACGGGUGAGUAACACGUGAGUAACCUGCCCUUGACUUUGGGAUAACUUCAGGAAACUGGGGCUAAUACCGGAUAGGAGCUCCUGCUGCAUGGUGGGGGUUGGAAAGUUUCGGCGGUUGGGGAUGGACUCGCGGCUUAUCAGCUUGUUGGUGGGGUAGUGGCUUACCAAGGCUUUGACGGGUAGCCGGCCUGAGAGGGUGACCGGCCACAUUGGGACUGAGGUACCGCCCAGACGCCUACGGGAGGCAGCAGUGGGGAAUAUUGCACAAUGGGCGGAAGCCGGAUGCAGCAACGCCGCGUGCUGGAUGACGGCCUUCGGGUUGGAAACCGCUUUCGCCUGGGACGAAGCGUGAGUGACGGUAAUGUGUAAAGAAGCACCGGCUAACUACGUG